rnacentral:misc_RNA from 1 species
ACCGAUGAUGGCGACUACAACAUCAAGAUGCGCAAUAUCAAGCGCUUCCUGGCCGAUGGCGACAAGUGCAAGAUCACUUUGCGUUUUCGGGGGCGAGAAAUCACCCACCAGGAAAUCGGUAUGGCCUUAUUGCAACGUAUCCGCAAUGACUUGCAGGAUCUGAUCAUCGUCGAGCAGUUUCCCAAGUUGGAAGGCCGCCAAAUGAUCAUGAUGAUCGCGCCGGGCAAGAAAAAGCCGGUGUCCAGCAAGCCUGCUGCAGAAGCAGCGCCUGCGCCAGUACCAGCAGCGGCAUCGUAAGAAUUUCAAGCUGCAGA